GACGGGGAGGUUUGGCACCUCGAUGUCGGCUCAUCGCAUCCUGGGGCUGAAUAAGGUCCCAAGGGUUUGGCUGUUCGCCAAUUAAAGCGGUACGUGAGCUGGGUUUAGAACGUCGUGAGACAGUUCGGUCCCUAUCUGCUGUGGGCGCAGGACAUUUGCGGGGAUCUAUCUCCAGUACGAGAGGACCGGGAUGGACGAACCUCUGGUGUUCCAGCUGUUUCGCCAGAAGCAUCGCUGGGUAGCUAAGUUCGGAAUGGAUAACCACUGAAAGCAUCUAAGUGGGAAGCCAACCCCAAGAUAAGAUGUCCCUCCGAGCAAUCGGACUGAAGGCCUCUGGUAGACUACCAGGUUGAUAGGCCGGAUGUGUAAGUCUGGUAACAGGCUUAGCUUACCGGUACUAAUCGGCCGUGCGUCUUGACCAUAUUU
rnacentral:rRNA from 1 species